rnacentral:rRNA from 1 species
AGUAGUUAAUACCUGCUAGCUGUGACGUUACUGACAGAAGAAGCACCGGCUAACUCCGUGCCAGCAGCCGCGGUAAUACGGAGGGUGCGAGCGUUAAUCGGAAUUACUGGGCGUAAAGCGUACGCAGGCGGUUUGUUAAGCGAGAUGUGAAAGCCCCGGGCUCAACCUGGGAACUGCAUUUCGAACUGGCAAACUAGAGUGUGAUAGAGGGUGGUAGAAUUUCAGGUGUAGCGGUGAAAUGCGUAGAGAUCUGAAGGAAUACCGAUGGCGAAGGCAGCCACCUGGGUCAACACUGACGCUCAUGUACGAAAGCGUGGGGAGCAAACAGGAUUAGAUACCCUGGUAGUCCACGCCGUAAACGAUGUCUACUAGAAGCUCGGAACCUCGGUUCUGUUUUUCAAAGCUAACGCAUUAAGUAGACCGCCUGGGGAGUACGGCCGCAAGGUUAAAACUCAAAUGAAUUGACGGGGGCCCGCACAAGCGGUGGAGCAUGUGGUUUAAUUCGAUGCAACGCGAAGAACCUUACCUACACUUGACAUACAGAGAACUUACCAGAGAUGGUUUGGUGCCUUCGGGA